rnacentral:ncRNA from 20 species
AUCCUAGAUGGCCGUGACGGUUUCCCCGAGAGGGGAUGAAAAGGGAAUGCGGUGCGGGGACGUUGUCCCCAAUGCCGUGGCUGCCCCCGCAACUGUAAGCGGCGAAUCUUGCGUCACGAGCCACUGGGUAUCUCGGUCCCGGGAAGGCGACGCAAGGUGACGACCCGCGAGCCAGGAGACCUGCCGUCAGCCGUGGUCACACG